rfam:Rhodobacteraceae bacterium SB2 pfor_36, whole genome shotgun sequence.
CCUAUUGAAAUCAGCCCAAGCCUAACAUAUUCUACAUAUGUUCUUUGGAACUAUGGACAUAAACGCGCUCAUAAUAAUCGGAUCGGACCCGGGGGCGGUACCCGGCGACUCCACCAAAAUCCGUUCAUUUGGCGGCUGAGGGGUCGAAAUAGGAUCGACGAACGUGUAAAAGGGUUAGCUUUGUUUCGGCGAGAUACCACCGUAUCGGUUCAAAAUGUACAAUUGCAAAUGACAAUCGUGCUCCAAUGGCGAUGGCCGCGUAAGCGACCGGAACUAUUGAAAACUUAAGCCCUAACGCUUUGCAGCUUUAGGCGGGGUUCGAAGGCACCUGGCAACAGAAGCCUUCACU